rnacentral:rRNA from 1 species
AACACUUGGAAACAGGUGCUAAUACCGCAUAACCAUAGUUACCGCAUGGUAACUAUGUAAAAGGUGGCUAUGCUACCGCUUUUGGAUGGGCCCGCGGCGCAUUAGCUAGUUGGUGGGGUAAAGGCUUACCAAGGCAAUGAUGCGUAGCCGAACUGAGAGGUUGAUCGGCCACAUUGGGACUGAGACACGGCCCAAACUCCUACGGGAGGCAGCAGUAGGGAAUCUUCCACAAUGGGCGAAAGCCUGAUGGAGCAACGCCGCGUGGGUGAAGAAGGUCUUCGGAUCGUAAAACCCUGUUGUUAGAGAAGAAAGUGCGUGAGAGUAACUGUUCACGUUUCGACGGUAUCUAACCAGAAAGCCACGGCUAACUACGUGCCAGCAGCCGCGGUAAUACGUAGGUGGCAAGCGUUAUCCGGAUUUAUUGGGCGUAAAGGGAACGCAGGCGGUCUUUUAAGUCUGAUGUGAAAGCCUUCGGCUUAACCGGAGUAGUGCAUUGGAAACUGGGAGACUUGAGUGCAGAAGAGGAAAGUGGAACUCCAUGUGUAGCGGUGAAAUGCGUAUAUAUAUGGAAGAACACCAGUGGCGAAAGCGGCUCUCUGGUCUGUAACUG